rnacentral:rRNA from 1 species
UGUGGUUAAUCGAAGCAACGCGUAAGAACCUUACCAGGUCUUGACAUCCCGAUGCUAUUCUAGAGAUAGAAAGUUACUUCGGUACAUCGGUGACAGGUGGUGCAUGGUUGUCGUCAGCUCGUGUCGUGAGAUGUUGGGUUAAGUCCCGCAACGAGCGCAACCCCUAUUGUUAGUUGCCAUCAUUCAGUUGGGCACUCUAGCGAGACUGCCGGUAAUAAACCGGAGGAAGGUGGGGAUGACGUCAAAUCAUCAUGCCCCUUAUGACCUGGGCUACACACGUGCUACAAUGGUUGGUACAACGAGUUGCGAGUCGGUGACGGCGAGCUAAUCUCUUAAAGCCAAUCUCAGUUCGGAUUGUAGGCUGCAACUCGCCUACAUGAAGUCGGAAUCGCUAGUAAUCGCGGAUCAGCACGCCGCGGUGAAUACGUUCCCGGGCCUU